CUCACUGAAAUUUUAUGGGCGUUGGGCAAUCUGUCACAGACAGAACGCCAGCGAGUAAAACAAAACUCAGUUUAUUGAGGUUACAGAACUAAAAACGCCCGUAGGAAACAAAGAACAGGGCAAACACUUGACUUCAGUGUGAUAAGUAACAAAAAACAGCUCAGUUUGAGCUUAAACGGUUCAAAGGAAUAAACCGGGUUAAACAGAAGUAUAAUCCGGAUUAAAUCAAAAGUGCUUACUUCAGCCUGGCAAACAAUGCAAACAAAAGAGGAUCAACAGGAGUCAGAAUGUAAACAACAGACUGGUAGCAGAUUCCUCUCUGCUACUCAGAAACAGCAGGAGAAUAAACCAGGCUUGUUUAUUCCUUCCUGCAGCGAACGAAAAGCGUGGUCGUAGUCAGGAUUCAGUUUAAGGUUCAGCGGCCAACGAUAUCCAGGUCCAGGCACAGCAGUCAGGGUAACGGCAGUCAGCAGGGUCCCAAUCCGGUCCAGAGGUCAAUAGCCAAGCGUAGUCGUCUAGAAAUCCAAAGGUCUCACCGAUAGCCAGCAGAAGGGAUAACCCGGAAUCGAAGUCAGUCAGUCCAGCGUCAAUCCAGUGCGAGUAGAUAUUGCCCGUCAAAAAGACGACGGAGGUCCAAGCUAUCGAGAUUAAACACAAGUUGCACAGAGAAAAACCCCGCACAGUUCCUCCCGCCGUCUUUUUGACGGGCAAUAUCUACUCGCACUGGAUUGACGCUGGACUGACUGACUUCGAUUCCGGAUUAUCCCUUCUGCUGGCUAUCGGUGAGACCUUUGGAUUUCUAGACGACUACGCUUGGCUAUUGACCUCUGGACCGGAUUGGGACCCUGCUGACUGCCGUUACCCUGACUGCUGUGCCUGGACCUGGAUAUCGUUGGCCGCUGAACCUUAAACUGAAUCCUGACUACGACCACGCUUUUCGUUCGCUGCAGGAAGGAAUAAACAAGCCUGGUUUAUUCUCCUGCUGUUUCUGAGUAGCAGAGAGGAAUCUGCUACCAGUCUGUUGUUUACAUUCUGACUCCUGUUGAUCCUCUUUUGUUUGCAUUAUUUGCCAGGCUGAAGUAAGCACUUUUGAUUUAAUCCGGAUUAUACUUCUGUUUAACCCGGUUUAUCCCUUUGAACCGUUUAAGCUCAAACUGAGCUGUUUUUUGUUACUUAUCACACUGAAGUCAAGUGUUUGCCCUGUUCUUUGUUUCCUACGGGCGUUUUUAGUUCUGUAACCUCAAAUAAACUGAGUUUUGUUUUACUCGCUGGCGUUCUGUCUGUGACAGUCGGACUGUCUCAGCUUAUCCCUCACCAAGUUCAGUUGUUAAUAGGUUCAUGCAUUUCAUGAAGAGGGGUUAAAUAGGUAACAUUAAUAAAGUUGCCCAUAGUUAUGCCAUACUAUUGUGGGGUCUCAUUAUUUCAUCGGUGGGUGAGAAAUCCAAAAUGCUUCUUAUCCAUUUAGAUAAGGGAUACUUAGGACCAUUCCACACAACCAUAUAACUGAAUCAGGAAACACCCCAGGAACCGACUGGAGGCUGGGACAUUGGCCACAAAGAUCCAAUAUUUUUUUUCUUACCUCUUCUGGCAGUAUGUGCUGAUAGGCUUCAGCAUGUCCUUUGGAAUUAGAUCAAGGCAAGGCACAGAAAAUGAAGAUAAAGGGGAGAAAAACAGGUGUUGUCUCUCCGAAGGAGGUGUUUACCUUCCAGCCAGCUGUAUUUGCAGGUUUUUCAAAUGCCCCUAGCCGGUAUCUUGUUUUGGAAUAUCUCUACAAAAGUUAGUAGAUGUUGAUGUUUCACAAAAAUCUGGAAGCUUCAAUGUCACCUUCUAAUAUCUAUCCAUGGUGCUGAAUCCUAUCUGCCAAAUAAGUGCAAUACCUUAUAUAGCCACUUUAAAAUUCAGACAACAACCCAGAGUGUCAUGGUCAGCUCGAAGAAUGAGAGUGUGGAGUUGCUAGAAAGGCCAGCAGUCUACCCUAUGUAGCUCAGCCACUGCUGAAGACAAACUUUCAACUGAAGCGAACACUCUCUGGCAGCCUAUGGUCAGCUAGAUCGGGGAGGUUAUCACAGUUCUCAUAGAUUAACUGAAAAGCGCUCAUUAAUCAAGCAGCAGCUGAGAUCCUGAGAUAUAAAGCUCUCGGUGUCGUGACUCUUUUGCAGUGGACCAUGUUGUUAUCUGACACGAGUCCAAUACCCAUUUGUUUCUGACCUGACUCUGUUGCUUCAUCAGCUUGACUUCAAGGAAUUCUGAAUUUGACUACUUGGGCUUUGGAUCUCGGGAUUGGUUCAUAUAUCUCUUUUUGUUUUUAGUGCUUUGUGCAUCUGACCUUGUUUUUAUUCUGGUUUGACUUCCAAGGACUCCUGAAUUUGGCUUCUCUGAUAUCAAAAUCCUGACAUUGGCAGGCUUGUUCCUGUUGUUUGUUUAAAUUAAGCUGCUGAAAACAUGGUCCUGUUUACAACACAGAGGAGUUCUACCACCUAACUGGCAUGGGAACCACCAGUCUCUAAUGAUUAUAUAAUAACAAAGGGUAAAAUUUUCUAUCACAAUGUAUAUUAUAUAAUGUAUACUUAUCUAUUGUUGUUGUUGUUGUUAUACCCAAUUUUAUCUCCCCUGAAGGGGACUCAAAGCAUCUAUGUUGCAUAGAUGCUAACAAACUAUGUCAAAUAUGCACAACACAACAAAAGCAAGAGUGCCUUAAUGCACAUCAGGCUCCA
rnacentral:lncRNA from 1 species